AGGUCAUUUUGAGGUCAGUUUCUUAGUAGCCCUUUAUACCGCUCCCAUGCCUCAUAAAGCGACUCACUCGGUUAUUGCUCAAAGUUGGCUAUUGCCUUCUUGAGUUG